UCCGGUUUGUCACCGGCAGUCCCAUUAGAGUGCUCAACUGAAUGUAGCAACUAAUGGCAAGGGUUGCGCUCGUUGCGGGACUUAACCCAACAUCUCACGACACGAGCUGACGACAGCCAUGCAACACCUAUCGCAGGCCCUUACGGACACCGGCUUUCACCGGCUUUAACUAGCAUGUCAAGCCUAGGUAAGGUUCUUCGCGUUGCAUCGAAUUAAGCCACAUACUCCACCGCUUGUGCAGGCCCCCGUCAAUUUCUUUGAGUUUUAAUCUUGCGGCCGUACUUCCCAGGCGGCACAUUUAACGCGUUGGCUACGCCACGAAAGGGGUCGAAUCCUCUCACAGCAAAUGUGCACCGUUUACGGCUAGGACUAC
rnacentral:misc_RNA from 1 species